GUCUAGUGGUCCAGGACACCGCCCUUUCACGGCGGUAACAGGGGUUCGAACCCCCU
rnacentral:tRNA from 1 species